rnacentral:ncRNA from 1 species
GCCGGCGCGUUUACUUUGAAAAAAUUAGAGUGCUCAACGCAGGCGAUUCGCCUGAAUAACAGUGCAUGGAAUAAUAGAACAAGAUCCUGUUUCUGUUCUGUUGGUUUUUGGAAUACAGGAUAAUGAUUAAGAGGGACAGACGGGGGCAUUCGUAUUGCGGCGCUAGAGGUGAAAUUCUUGGACCGUCGCAAGACGAACUACUGCGAAAGCAUUUGCCAAGAAUGUUUUCAUUGAUCAAGAACGAAAGUUAGAGGUUCGAAGGCGAUCAGAUACCGCCCUAGUUCUAACCAUAAACGAUGCCAACCAGCGAUCCGCCUGAGUUACUCAAAUGACUCGGCGGGCAGCUUCCGGGAAACCAAAGUAUUUGGGUUCCGGGGGAAGUAUGGUUGCAAAGCUGAAACUUAAAGGAAUUGACGGAAGGGCACCACCAGGAGUGGAGCCUGCGGCUUAAUUUGACUCAACACGGGAAAACUUACCCGGCCCGGACACUGGGAGGAUUGACAGAUUGAGAGCUCUUUCUUGAUUCGGUGGAUGGUGGUGCAUGGCCGUUCUUAGUUGGUGGAGCGAUUUGUCUGGUUAAUUCCGAUAACGAACGAGACUCUAGCCUAUUAAAUAGGUGCGUGGUUCUCUGCACCUUGCACCCUUCUUAGAGGGACAAGCGGCUCCUAGCCGCACGAAACAGAGCAAUAACAGGUCUGUGAUGCCCUUAGAUGUCCGGGGCCGCACGCGCGCUACACUGAAGGAAGCAGCGUGUUUUUAUCCCUGUCUGUAAAGACUGGGUAACCCGUGGAACCUCCUUCGUGAUUGGGAUAGGGGCUUGCAAUUGUUCCCCUUGAACGAGGAAUUCCCAGUAAGCGCGAGUCAUAAGCUCGCGUUGAUUACGUCCCUGCCCUUUGUACACACCGCCCGUCGCUACUACCGAUUGAAUGAUUUAGUGAGGUCUUCGGACCGAUACCCGGAGCGGCCUUUCGGUUGCGCCGGUGUGUUGGAAAGAUGACCAAACUUGAUCAUU